rnacentral:rRNA from 1 species
UACGAAGGGGCUAGCGUUGUUCGGAAUUACUGGGCGUAAAGCGCGCGCAGGCGGCUCUUCAAGUCAGGGGUGAAAGCCCAGAGCUCAACUCUGGAACUGCCUUUGAGACUGAAGAGCUUGAGUACGGGAGAGGUGAGUGGAAUUCCCGAGUGAUAGAGGUGAAAUUCGUAGAUAUUGGGAAGAACACCGGUGGCGAAGGCGGCGUCA